rnacentral:rRNA from 1 species
CGGACGGGUGAGUAACGCGUGGGUAACCUGCCUUAUACAGGGGGAUAACAGUCAGAAAUGGCUGCUAAUACCGCAUAAGCGCACAGAGCUGCAUGGCUCAGUGUGAAAAACUCCGGUGGUAUAAGAUGGACCCGCGUUGGAUUAGCUUGUUGGUGGGGUAACGGCCCACCAAGGCGACGAUCCAUAGCCGGCCUGAGAGGGUGAACGGCCACAUUGGGACUGAGACACGGCCCAGACUCCUACGGGAGGCAGCAUG